CCUACGGGAGGCAGCAGUAGGGAAUCUUUCACAAUGGGCGAAAGCCUGAUGGAGCAACGCCGCGUGCAGGAUGAAGGCCUUCGGGUUGUAAACUGCUUUUAUAAGCGAGAAAUAUGAUGGUAACUUAUGAAUAAGGAUCGGCUAACUACGUGCCAGCAGCCGCGGUCAUACGUAGGAUCCGAGCAUUAUCCGGAGUGACUGGGUGUAAAGAGUUGCGUAGGUGGCAUAAUAAGUAGCUAGUGAAAUCUGGUGGCUCAACCAUUCAGACUAUUAGCUAAACUGGUAAGCUCGAGACCGUUAGGGGUAACUGGAAUUUCUAGUGUAGGAGUGAAAUCCGUAGAUAUUAGAAGGAACACCAAUAGCGUAGGCAGGUUGCUGGGACGGUUCUGACACUAAGGCACGAAAGCGUAGGGAGCAAACGGGAUUAGAUACCCCAGUAGUC
rnacentral:rRNA from 1 species